AGAAACCAGAGGCCUUUCUCCUGGGCAUAGUCGGCCAAUUGGUGCCAAAGAAGGACAGAACUUUCUUUAUGUAUGCCACAACAGCAGCAAGAAUACUUAUUGCAAAGUAUUGGAAGACACAAGACCUACCCACUCUGGAAGAAUGGCAGAUGAAGGUGAUGGACUACAUGGAAUUGGCCGAAAUGACUGGCAGAAUCCGAGACCAGGAGAAGAGUCGGUGGAAGAAGACUGGAAGAAAUUUAAAGACUAUCUACAGAAAUAUUGUAAAAUUAAUGAAUGUUAGAAUGAUGUUAGAAUGAAGUUAAGUGGUUUAAGCAGCAAUGCUAUAAAGACGUAUGUAAAAAUGGACAGUUAACAGGUGAAAAUCCAAAGUUAUAGUAUAUUAAGUUAAAGGACUAAGAGAAAAUAAAGAAAAGAAAUUGCUGAAUUAACUAAUUGAAUUGGAAUACAAAAAAGGGAGGUAUGAGGAGGUCAGGGAAGUAAGGAAAUGAACGUAAGGCAU